rnacentral:rRNA from 1 species
ACGGGUGAGUAAUGUCUGGGAAACUGCCUGAUGGAGGGGGAGUAACUACUGGAAACGGUAGCUAAUACCGCAUAACGUCGCAAGACCAAAGAAGGGGGGACCGUUCGGGCCUCUUGCCAUCGGAUGUGCCCAGAUGGGAUUAGCUAGUAGGUGGGGUAACGGCUCACCUAGGCGACGAUCCCUAGCUGGUCUGAGAGGAUGACCAGCCACACUGGAACUGAGACACGGUCCAGACUCCUACGGGAGGCAGCAUG